rnacentral:ncRNA from 1 species
UAUUUAUAUAUUUGUUUUGUUUCAGCCUUGGAGGAAUAAAAUCUGCCGAGGUCAUCCGAGGAAACAGAUAAAAAGAUAUUACCUUAAUUCAUAUCAGUGUUCUCAGUGCUGAUGGGCUGAACAGACUAGCUAAAUUGCUUUUAUACUAUACAAACUAACCUAGUUGAAUACGUAUGCUGAUUUGUUUUACCCACAUACUGACGCUUGGCUGACUUCACGUCCCCGAUUAUGAUUGAAGUUGACUUAUAACUAGAGCGACGGAAAACAAACCUCAUGCGGGUUCCCCUCAGGGCGCUUUGGUGACUCUAGAUAACCUUGAGUUGAUCUCUCCCUCAUGGCCGCAAUGUCUCAUUCGAAUGUCUGCCCUAGCAACUUUCAGUGGGUUUUAUUCCGGAGAGCUAUCACAUCCAAGGAAUGCAGGCAUGUAAAUUACCCACUCCUGACUCGGGGAGGUAGUGACAAAAUGACAAAAUAACAAUACAGGACUCUUCGAGGCUCUGUAAUGAUUUGAAAUGAGUGCACUUAAAAUCUUUUAACAUUAAAGUUGCUGUAGUUAAAAAGCUCAUAGUUGGAUCUUUGGAUCAAGCUGAUGGUCCACCAUGAGGUGAGCUAUCGUCUGUCCCAGCCCCUGCCUCUCAAUGCCCCAUUCAUGGCCCACAGGGUCCUAAGCGUUUACUUUAAACAAAUUAGAGUGUUUAAAGCAGGCCCGGUCAAAUGAAUAGGAAUAAUCACCAGCUUUUUUGAUAAUGGAUUCAUUGGUUUGAGUAUUUCUUUUUCUCCAAAAACUCUAGUUUCUUUGGUCCUCUAUCACAGCAAGUUUCGCACUUCAUGUUGUCACAGCACGAAUUAAACUUUGCAGGUAACUGAGAAGAAGUUCAGGUGGUCAGAUACCAUCAGGCAAAUUGAAAAAAAAAAAAACAGUUCUACAAGCAUUU